UACGUAGGUGGCGAGCGUUGUCCGGAUUUACUGGGCGUAAAGAGCGCGCAGGCGGUCGUUCAAGUCGCGUGUGAAAGCCCCCGGCUCAACUGGGGAGGGUCACGCGAUACUGAUCGACUCGAAGGCAGGAGAGGGAAGUGGAAUUCCCGGUGUAGAGGUGAAAUUCGUAGAUAUCGGGAGGAACACCAGUGGCGAAGGCGGCGAUCUGGGAAGAUACUGACGCUGAGGUGCGAAAGCGUGGGGAGCAAACAGG
rnacentral:rRNA from 1 species